AGUGAACGCUGGCGGUAGGCCUAACACAUGCAAGUCGAACGGCAGCACAGUAAGAGCUUGCUCUUACGGGUGGCGAGUGGCGGACGGGUGAGGAAUACAUCGGAAUCUACUUUUUCGUGGGGGAUAACGUAGGGAAACUUACGCUAAUACCGCAUACGACCUACGGGUGAAAGCAGGGGAUCUUCGGACCUUGCGCGAUUGAAUGAGCCGAUGUGGGAUUAGCUAGUUGGCGGGGUAAAGGCCCACCAAGGCGACGAUCCGUAGCUGGUCUGAGAGGAUGGUCAGCCACACUGGAACUGAGACACGGUCCAGACUCCUACGGGAGGCAGCAGUGGGGAAUAUUGGGCAAUGGGGGCAAGCCUGAUCCAGCCAUACCGCGUGGGUGAAGAAGGCCUUCGGGUUGUAAAGCCCUUUUGUUGGGAAAGAAAAGCAGCAGGUUAAUACCCCGCUGUUCUGACGGUACCCAAAGAAUAAGCACCGGCUAACUUCGUG
rnacentral:rRNA from 1 species